GACGAACGCUGGCGGCGUGCCUAAUACAUGCAAGUAGAACGCUGAAGCUUGGUGCUUGCACCGAGCGGAUGAGUUGCGAACGGGUGAGUAACGCGUAGGUAACCUGCCUGGUAGCGGGGGAUAACUAUUGGAAACGAUAGCUAAUACCGCAUAAGAGUAGAUGUUGCAUGACAUUUGCUUAAAAGGUGCAAUUGCAUCACUACCAGAUGGACCUGCGUUGUAUUAGCUAGUUGGUGAGGUAACGGCUCACCAAGGCAACGAUACAUAGCCGACCUGAGAGGGUGAUCGGCCACACUGGGACUGAGACACGGCCCAGACUCCUACGGGAGGCAGCAGUAGGGAAUCUUCGGCAAUGGACGGAAGUCUGACCGAGCAACGCCGCGUGAGUGAAGAAGGUUUUCGGAUCGUAAAGCUCUGUUGUAAGAGAAGAACGAGUGUGAGAGUGGAAAGUUCACACUGUG
rnacentral:rRNA from 1 species